UCCCGCGUAACUCAGUUGGUAGAGUGGGUGGCUGUUAACCACCUUGUCGCUGGUUCGAGUCCAGCCGCGGGAG
rnacentral:tRNA from 2 species